rnacentral:rRNA from 1 species
UGGGGAAUAUUGCACAAUGGGCGCAAGCCUGAUGCAGCCAUGCCGCGUGUAUGAAGAAGGCCUUCGGGUUGUAAAGUACUUUCAGCGGGGAGGAAGGUGUUGAGGUUAAUAACCUCAGCAAUUGACGUUACCCGCAGAAGAAGCACCGGCUAACUCCGUGCCAGCAGCCGCGGUAAUACGGAGGGUGCAAGCGUUAAUCGGAAUUACUGGGCGUAAAGCGCACGCAGGCGGUCUGUCAAGUCGGAUGUGAAAUCCCCGGGCUCAACCUGGGAACUGCAUUCGAAACUGGCAGGCUAGAGUCUUGUAGAGGGGGGUAGAAUUCCAGGUGUAGCGGUGAAAUGCGUAGAGAUCUGGAGGAAUACCGGUGGCGAAGGCGGCCCCCUGGACGAAGACUGACGCUCAGGUGCGAAAGCGUGGGGAGCAAACA